rnacentral:rRNA from 1 species
GAGACUGGAAUUCCUGGUGUAGCGGUGAAAUGCGCAGAUAUCAGGAGGAACACCGAUGGCGAAGGCAGGUCUCUGGGCUGUUACUGACGCUGAGGAGCGAAAGCAUGGGGAGCGAACAGGAUUAGAUACCCUGGUAGUCCAUGCCGUAAACGUUGGGCACUAGGUGUGGGGGACAUUCCACGUUUUCCGCGCCGUAGCUAACGCAUUAAGUGCCCCGCCUGGGGAGUACGGCCGCAAGGCUAAAACUCAAAGGAAUUGACGGGGGCCCGCACAAGCGGCGGAGCAUGCGGAUUAAUUCGAUGCAACGCGAAGAACCUUACCAAGGCUUGACAUUCACCGGACCGCCCCAGAGAUGGGGUUUCCCUUCGGGGCUGGUGGACAGGUGGUGCAUGGUUGUCGUCAGCUCGUGUCGUGAGAUGUUGGGUUAAGUCCCGCAACGAGCGCAACCCUCGUUCUAUGUUGCCAGCACGUGAUGGUGGGGACUCAUAGGAGACUGCCGGGGUCAACUCGGAGGAAGGUGGGGAUGACGUCAAAUCAUCAUGCCCCUUAUGUCUUGGGCUUCACGCAUGCUACAAUGGCCGGUACAAAGGGUUGCGAUACUGUGAGGUGGAGCUAAUCCCAAAAAGCCGGUCUCAGUUCGGAUUGAGGUCUGCAACUCGACCUCAUGAAGUCGGAGUCGCUAGUAAUCGCAGAUCAGCAACGCUGCGGUGAAUACGUUCCCGGGCCUUGUACACACCGCCCGUCAAGUCACGAAAGUUGGUAACACCCGAAGCCGGUGG